CCAGCCCUUGUCCUCCAGUAUUCCCAAGGCCAGUCACAGGCCUAGUGUCCAAGGGGCUCAGGAGCAGCCGCCUUCAUUUCCCAGCAGAGCCAUCAGUUUGGGGUCAGACUCCUUUCUGCGCCGCCACUGAGGGUCACGGGCAGGCCUCCUCCCCACAUUACCUCCAGCCCCUGGGUGUGUUAGCACUGAAGGAUGGAUACUGAUGCUGAGUCAGAACUGGGUCCACAGGGUGUCCCUUGAGGGACUGGCAGGGAGCUAUCCUAGGAAGCAAGCCCUCAUCUCAUCUUGGGGUCACCUGCCAUCAUUAAGUACUUGUUGGGCUGGCCACUGUGCUGAAAGCUUUACGUGCAGAAUUGCUUUAAAUCCUUACAACACCCUACGAGAUGUGCCAGCAUCACCCCCAUCAUUGUCAUCUGCAUUUAAUAGAAGAGGAACCUGAGAUGCAGAGAGGGCAUGGAACUGGUCCGCGGUCACAGGUGCUGUGCCAGGAUGCAUCAGCGAAGCCUGUGGUCCCCACCAGCUGCCGAAGCGACCACUCGGACCUGUGGCCAAGCCUGUCCUACGCCAUCCUGCUGGCUCUCCCAGUAUCUCCUUGUGUGCUGCCUCAGGCUUCCCUACCGACCACUCCUGUCAUCAUUCACAGCAUCAUGUGGGUACUUCUGGACCUGUCAUGGCCCCCGUGCACCUGGAGGCUGAUAGAAUACUAGCCCAGACACUCACUGUCUCCUUCAUACUUUUCUGGACGCCUUAAAAACUCCAACAGAUUGUACCCUGACAUAUUGUAGGGACAAUGGAGGAGGCAAUAAGCAAAGUGGCAGAGAAAAACCCUGGGGCCUGAACUGUUAUCUCUCCAUCCUCCUUUCCACAAUCUAUCAAAAGAGAAGAAACAAGAUUUCCUCUCCUCAUUUUCUAAAAACUAGUCAGGCAGGCCUAAUUCUUGAUAUGUUAAAUGAGAGAUGAAGGAAUUCAGAAAACCUUUUCUUUUAACAAUGACUGCAUUCCAUCCAAGAAUUUUGCUAUGACUCAGACAAAAAUCUAACUGGAAUAUACUGAGCUAGUAUUCUGUCUUCUUCUUACCUUCUACACCAAACAUUGCUUCAGUGGGCAAGUAACCCCAGAACAAGAUUUAUAGGAUGCGAAAAUUCAUCGAAAAGUAAUUUCAGAGUGUCAACCCUGUUGCAGAAACAUGUUAGUUCAACAGGAGAAACCAAC
ensembl:lncRNA